GGGCCCGCACAAGCGGUGGAGCAUGUGGUUUAAUUCGAUGAUACGCGAGGAACCUUACCAGGGCUUAAAUGUAGUGGGACAGGUCUAGAGAUAGACCCUUCUUCGGACUCAUUACAAGGUGCUGCAUGGUUGUCGUCAGCUCGUGCCGUGAGGUGUCAGGUUAAGUCCUAUAACGAGCGCAACCCCUAUCGUUAGUUGCCAGCGAGUAUUGUCGGGAACUCUAACGAAACUGCCAGUGCAAACUGUGAGGAAGGUGGGGAUGACGUCAAAUCAUCACGGCCCUUACGUCCUGGGCUACACACGUGCUACAAUGGCCGGUACAGAGAGCAGCCACUUCGCAAGAAGGAGCGAAUCUACAAAACCUAUCUCAGUUCGGAUCGAAGUCUGCAACUCGACUUCGUGAAGUUGGAAUC
rnacentral:rRNA from 1 species